GGGUGCUUAGCUCAGUUGGUAGAGCAUCGCCCUUACAAGGCGAGGGUCGUAGGUUCGAUCCCUACAGCACCCACCA
rnacentral:tRNA from 5 species